rnacentral:rRNA from 1 species
GGGGAAUAUUGGACAAUGGGCGCAAGCCUGAUCCAGCCAUGCCGCGUGGGUGAAGAAGGCCUUCGGGUUGUAAAGCCCUUUUGUUGGGAAAGAAAAGCAGCCGGCCAAUACCCAGUUGUUCUGACGGUACCCAAAGAAUAAGCACCGGCUAACUACGUGCCAGCAGCCGCGGUAAUACGUAGGGGGCAAGCGUUAUCCGGAAUUACUGGGCGUAAAGGGUGCGUAGGCGGUUUAUCAAGUCAGGGGUGAAAGGCUACGGCUCAACCGUAGUGACCCUCUGAAACUGGUGAACUUGAGUGUAGGAGAGGAAAGUGGAAUUCCCAGUGUAGCGGUGAAAUGCGUAGAUAUUGGGAGGAACACCAGUGGCGAAGGCGACUUUCUGGACUACAACUGACGCUGAGGCACGAAAGCGUGGGGAGCAAACA